rnacentral:lncRNA from 13 species
AAAGCAGAAGGGGCCAUAUCAUCGCACCUUCUAUCUCCCGGGAGAUACUUUACCUAAAGAGGACUUCCAAAUAUAAAGCUCUUUCUUUUUUAUCCCUCUUUUUUGAUUAGAUUUUUAAUUAUUUUCUUUACAAAUUAAAAAAGCCCAAGCCCGUUGUUGCCCAUUCAUCCUUAGAAGAGGGAAGGCUACAAAUGGGCCUGGCAGUGGUUCAGAGGCUGCCUGCCAAGGCUGUGUCAGGUUCAUUUGGCAGCAGUGCAGAGCUGGGCUGGGCUGGGCUAACGUUGGGGCCCAGGGCAAAGGCCUGGGAUGGGCUAGAGCUGCAGCUGCCUCCGUCCAGGGAGGAAGGGGAGGACGAUAUUUCUGUUCACCCACUCAGCAAUUAUUUAACAAACAUUUAUUGUGCCCAAGGCUUUUGUGGGCUCCCCUCCAGGAAAGGGCAGGUCAUUGAAUGGGCCCUGGGAAAAAUGAUGUCUGAGUUCCUCUCCAGCUUUCAGAGGAAGGCUGGAGAGAGAUCCCUCACCCCUUCCACUGUGAGGACAUAG